GAGGGCCUGACGUCCACGGGUGGGGGUUGUGCUUACAGCCCAACACUAUGCAGGACGUUUGGCAUUUGCCAGAGAACACCAAGAUUGGCAAAUUCGCCACUGGUGCCCUGUGUUCUUCACAGAUGAAAGCAGGUUAACACUGAGCACAUGUGACAGACGUGACAGAGUCUGGAGAACGUUCUGCUGCCUGCAACAUCCUCCAGCAUGACUGGUUUGGCAGUGGGUCAAUAAUGGUGUGGGGUGACAUUUCCAUGUGCUCGC
rnacentral:lncRNA from 1 species